UACGGGGGGGGCAAGCGUUGUUCGGAAUUACUGGGCGUUAAGGGCUCGUAGGUGGCCAACUAAGUCAGACGUGAAAUCCCUCGGCUUAACCGGGGAACUGCAUCUGAUACUGGAUGGCUUGAGUUUGGGAGAGGGAUGCGGAAUUCCAGGUGUAGCGGUGAAAUGCGUAGAUAUCUGGAGGAACACCGGUGGCGAAGGCGGCAUCCUGGACCAACACUGACACUGAUGAGCGAAAGCCAGGGGAGCAAACGGG
rnacentral:rRNA from 1 species